GACGAACGCUGGCGGCGUGCUUAACACAUGCAAGUCGAGCGGAAAGGCCACUUCGGUGGUACUCGAGCGGCGAACGGGUGAGUAACACGUGAGUAAUCUGCCCUUCACUUCGGGAUAGCUCCGGGAAACCGGGAUUAAUACCGGAUAUGACUACCUUCGGCAUCGGGGGUGGUGGAAAGUUUUUUCGGUGGGGGAUGUGCUCGCGGCCUAUCAGCUUGAUGGUGGGGUAAUGGCCUACCAUGGCUUCGACGGGUAGCCGGCCUGAGAGGGUGACCGGCCACACUGGGACUGAGACACGGCCCAGACUCCUACGGGAGGCAGCAGUGGGGAAUAUUGGACAAUGGGCGGAAGCCUGAUCCAGCAACGCCGCGUGAGGGAUGACGGCCUUCGGGUUGUAAACCUCUUUCAGCACAGACGAAGCGAAAGUGACGGUAUGUGCAGAAGAAGGACCGGCCAACUACGUGCCAGCAGCCGCGGUAACAC
rnacentral:rRNA from 1 species